CGCGUAGGCGGCUUGUUAAGUCGGAUGUGAAAGCCCCGGGCUCAACCUGGGAAUUGCAUUCGAUACUGGCUAGCUAGAGUGUGGUAGAGGGAAGUGGAAUUCCAGGUGUAGCGGUGAAAUGCGUAGAUAUCUGGAGGAACAUCAGUGGCGAAGGCGACUUCCUGGACCAACACUGACGCUGAGGUGCGAAAGCGUGGGGAGCAAACA
rnacentral:rRNA from 1 species